rnacentral:rRNA from 1 species
UGGGGAAUUUUGGACAAUGGGCGAAAGCCUGAUCCAGCAAUGCCGCGUGUGUGAAGAAGGCCUUCGGGUUGUAAAGCACUUUUGUCCGGAAAGAAAUCCUUGGCUCUAAUACAGUCGGGGGAUGACGGUACCGGAAGAAUAAGCACCGGCUAACUACGUGCCAGCAGCCGCGGUAAUACGUAGGGUGCAAACGUUAAUCGGAAUUACUGGGCGUAAAGCGUGCGCAGGCGGUUUGCUAAGACCGAUGUGAAAUCCCCGGGCUCAACCUGGGAACUGCAUUGGUGACUGGCAGGCUAGAGUAUGGCAGAGGGGGGUAGAAUUCCACGUGUAGCAGUGAAAUGCGUAGAGAUGUGGAGGAAUACCGAUGGCGAAGGCAGCCCCCUGGGCCAAUACUGACGCUCAUGCACGAAAGCGUGGGGAGCAAACAGGAUUAGAUACCCUGGUAGUCCACGCCCUAAAACGAUGUCAACUAGUUGUUGGGGAUUCAUUUCCUUAGUAACGUAGCUAACGCGUGAAGUUGACCGCCUGGGGAGUACGGUCGCAAGAUUAAAACUUAAAUGAAUUGACGGGGUCAUAGCUGUUUCCU